AACGAACGCUGGCGGCAGGCUUAACACAUGCAAGUCGAACGCAUCCUUCGGGGUGAGUGGCAGACGGGUGAGUAACGCGUGGGAACGUGCCCUUCAGUUCGGGAUAACCCAGGGAAACUUGGGCUAAUACCGGAUACGUGCGAGAGCAGAAAGAUUUAUCGCUGAAGGAUCGGCCCGCGUCUGAUUAGCUAGUUGGUGGGGUAAUGGCCCACCAAGGCGACGAUCAGUAGCUGGUCUGAGAGGAUGAUCAGCCACAUUGGGACUGAGACACGGCCCAAACUCCUACGGGAGGCAGCAGUGGGGAAUAUUGGACAAUGGGCGCAAGCCUGAUCCAGCCAUGCCGCGUGAGUGAUGAAGGCCUUAGGGUUGUAAAGCUCUUUCGUCCGGGACGAUAAUGACGGUACCUGCAGAAAAAGCACCGGCUAACUUCGUGCCAGCCGCCGCGGUAA
rnacentral:rRNA from 1 species